rnacentral:rRNA from 1 species
GACGAACGCUGGCGGCGUGCUUAACACAUGCAAGUCGAAAAGUGGCGAACGGGUGAGUAAAACGUGAGUAACAUGCCCUACACUUUGGGAUAACUCCGAGAAAUCGGGGCUAAUACUGGAUAGGGGGGGAUGGUCUCGCGGCCUAUCAGCUUGUUGGUGAGGUAGGGGUCACGAAGGAGGGACGGGUAGCCGGCUUGAGAGGGCGACCGGCGACACUGGGACUUAGAGAGGGCACAGAAGACUACGGGAGGCAGCAGUGGGGAAUAUUGGACAAUGGGCGAGAACCUGAUGCAGCGACGCCGGGUGGGGAAUGACGGCCUGCGGGUUGUAAACAUCUUUCAGCAAGUAAGCGGUACUUGCAGAAGAAGCGCCGGCUAACUACGUGCCAGCAGCCGCGGUAAUAC